GCUCCAAUGGCCUUGAGGUUAGAGCAUUCGCCUCGGAUGUGGGAGGUCGUGGGUUCGAUCCCCGGUCGAGUCA